AUGGAAUGUAUCCAAGGCCUCCAACACCCACUGAGGCGGAUGAAUGAAGAGAUCCAUUUUGUAAAGACUUGUCACACGGUGCUGGCAGUGGAGCAUGGGGAAAACUCACCUGGGGAAGUGGAACCAAACUUCUUGUUGUCCCAGAACCUAAGAGCUUCCCAAGUGCAUCUUGAAACCUCAGUGUUUAAUGGCAGAAUAAGUAAUGGUCUCCCUGCCACAAAGAAACUGCAUACCAAAAAGUGUGCUUUCUACUUAAAAGCUAACUGGAAACUCACAUUUGGAUCUGGGACAAGACUUCUGGUUUUGCCAGAUGUUACUCCAUCUCCUUCAGUCUACAGGCUGAUCUCUAAAGAUGAUGAGGAUUUGGAAAUGUGCCUUAUCACAGAUUACUCCCCUGAAAAGCUUACACUUAACUUGGCUGAUAAACAGACAAAUGCUGUUGUGGAGGUGGCAACACCCGAGAACAAACAUGAAGCUAGCUACCUGUCAACCUACUGGGCCAAGAAAGAUGAAAUGCAGUGCCAUGCAAAUCACGAAGACUUUGGAGAACUGAAGGGAGAGGAUCCUGAAAGUGGUGCCAGCACUGUCUGUGUUACAGGCAUGUCUCUACACUUCAGGACAGAUGAAAACCUGAACAUGCUGUCCUUAUCACAGCUGGGCCUGAAAAUAAUUUUAAUGAAAGGAAUCAUUUUUAAUGUGAUGAUGACGAUGCUUAUGUGGAAAAAAAAGAAUGAAAGUAACCAGAUGGUGCAGUCCUGA